CCUACGGGAGGCAGCAGUGGGGAAUAUUGCACAAUGGGGGAAACCCUGAUGCAGCGACGCCGCGUGGGUGACGAAGUAUUUCGGUAUGUAAAGCCCUAUCAGCAGGGAAGAAGCUGACAGUACCUGACUAAGAAGCCCCGGCUAACUACGUGCCAGCAGCCGCGGUAAUCCGUAGGGGGCAAGCGUUAUCCGGGUUUACUGGGUGGAAAGGGAGCGGAGGUGGCAUGGCAAGCCAGAAGGGAAAACCCGGGGCUUAACCCGGCGGAUUGCUUUUGGAACUGUCAGGCUGGAGGGCAGGAGGGGCAGGCGGAAUUCCUGGUGUAGCGGUGAAAUGCGUAGAUAUCAGGAGGAACACCGGUGGCGAAGGCGGCCUGCUGGACUGUAACUGACACUGAGGCUCGAAAGCGUGGGGAGCAAACAGGAUUAGAUACCCGGGUAGUC
rnacentral:rRNA from 1 species